GGUUUGUUAACGACACAAUUGUGUGAGUGCUAGGGGCUAAUAUCACAGACAACACAAUCAGGUGAAAUAAUAACAAUGUACGUACCUGUGAUUUAUAGGAGAUUAAACAAAACAAUCCCUUUAAGCUUUUAAUCGCUUUUUCUGUAUCUCAAACUGACUUUCUUGGAAUGAAGAAGAAGGUUUAUUGCUCUAGAACACAGCUAAAUUACCUUUCACUGCACUUCCGGGUGUGAACGACUUCUAAAGCCCUGUGACACUUAAUAUCUCCUUUUUCUAAAGAGCUACAGUGACAGUCACUUUCUCAACGAAUAAACAUUAAGAAUGUAUCCUCAAAAAAGUUUAAAGUGACCCAGCUUUAAAUGCUGUUGACACAUUGUACCUGCGGGCAGCCGUUCUAGGUCAUAACAGGUUUUCUGUUUGUUGAAAAAGCCUUUGUAAUAAAUUCC